rnacentral:rRNA from 1 species
AUUGAACGCUGGCGGCAUGCCUUCACAUGCAAGUCGAACGGCAGCACGGGUGCUUGCACCUGGUGGCGAGUGGCGAACGGGUGAGUAAUACAUCGGAACGUACCUUAUCGUGGGGGAUAACGCAGCGAAAGCUGUGCUAAUACCGCAUACGCCCUGAGGGGGAAAGCGGGGGAUCGCAAGACCUCGCGCGAUUAGAGCGGCCGAUGCCUGAUUAGCUUGUUGGUGGGGUAAAAGCCCACCAAGGCGACGAUCAGUAGCUGGUCUGAGAGGACGAUCAGCCACACUGGGACUGAGACACGGCCCAGACUCCUACGGGAGGCAGCAGUGGGGAAUUUUGGACAAUGGGGGCAACCCUGAUCCAGCAAUGCCGCGUGAGUGAAGAAGGCCUUCGGGUUGUAAAGCUCUUUUGUCAGGGAAGAAACACCGGCUCUAACACAGUCCGGGAAUGACGGUACCUGAAGAAUAAGCACCGGCUAACUACGUGCCAGCCGCCGCGGUA